rnacentral:rRNA from 1 species
AGAGCGAACGCUGGCGGCAGGCCUAACACAUGCAAGUCGAACGGACCCUUCGGGGUUAGUGGCGGACGGGUGAGUAACACGUGGGAACGUGCCUUUAGGUUCGGAAUAGCUCCUGGAAACGGGUGGUAAUGCCGAAUGUGCCCUUGGGGGAAAGAUUUAUCGCCAUUAGAGCGGCCCGCGUCUGAUUAGCUAGUUGGUGAGGUAAAGGCUCACCAAGGCGACGAUCAGUAGCUGGUCUGAGAGGAUGACCAGCCACAGUUGGGACUGAGACACGGCCCAAACUCCUACGGGAGCAGCAGUGGGGAAUCUUGCGACAAGUGGGACGAAAGCCUGACGCAGCCAGUCGCCGCGUAGAA